CCGAAUCACCUUUUCCUGGAACUACAUUGAUACGUGGCCCACAAUCAACAAAGGGUAUUUCCGUAAACUUAACAUCCGUCAUGGAAGCCCUAAAUUCAUCCCCUAUUCCCUUUAUAAAUAAUCCCAAUCCCACCACCAUCGACGUUUGAAAAUAGCAAUAAGAUGAGAGAGGAAACGAAGAAAAAGAAGAGCUGCGUGAGAUCUAGAAGUUUGUCAUCAAGAAUUUUUGAGGAUUGACGUUUGAAACAAAGGAGGAAGAAUUAGUACCAAAUAUUCUUAUUUUGGGGUUUGUAAAAAGGUGGCGGUGACAGUGAGAGACGAUGAUGGAAACAGUGUUUUAGAAACUGGUUUGAACCGCCCGAUGUUGAAACGGUGGGGUGUUAAACAACGAUCGGUUUUAUGCUAAGUUUUAAACUGAAUUGAACCAGACGAUGGUUUAUUCAAAAAUCGGGUUGAAACCAAUGUGAUAAAAAACUGAUGAAAAAAAUUGUUUGAAUCGGUUUAUUGAACUUUGAUAAGCUUCGUCCAUUAAAAAAAGUCAAUUUCCGAAAAAAA